GACGAACGCUGGCGGCGCGCCUAACACAUGCAAGUCGAACGAGCGAGCGAGAGCUUGCUUUCUCAAGCGAGUGGCGAACGGGUGAGUAACGCGUGAGGAACCUGCCUCAAAGAGGGGGACAACAGUUGGAAACGACUGCUAAUACCGCAUAAGCCCACGACCCGGCAUCGGGUAGAGGGAAAAGGAGCAAUCCGCUUUGAGAUGGCCUCGCGUCCGAUUAGCUAGUUGGUGAGGUAACGGCCCACCAAGGCGACGAUCGGUAGCCGGACUGAGAGGUUGAACGGCCACAGUGGGACUGAGACACGGCCCAGAAUCCUACGGGAGGCAGCAGUGGGGAAUAUUGCACAAUGGGGGAAACCCUGAUGCAGCGACGCCGCGUGGAGGAAGAAGGUCUUCGGAUUGUAAACUCCUGUUGUGGAGGAAGAUAAUGACGGUACUCAACAAGGAAGUGACGGCUAACUACGUG
rnacentral:rRNA from 1 species